AGAGUUUGAUCCUGGCUCAGAUUGAACGCUGGCGGCGUGCCUAACACAUGCAAGUCGAGCGGUAACAGGUGUAGCAAUACAUGCUGACGAGCGGCGAACGGGUGAGUAAUGCUUUGGAAUCUUCCCAGUAGUGGGGAAUAACCAGUCGAAAGAUUGGCUAAUACCGCAUACGUCUGUAAAGGGAAAGCGGGGGCUCGUAAGACCUCGCGCUAUUGGAUGAGCCAAAGUCGGAUUAGCUAGUUGGUGGGGUAAUGGCCUACCAAGGCGACAAUCCGUAGCUGGUCUGAGAGGACGACCAGCCACACCGGAACUGAGACACGGUCCGGACUCCUACGGGAGGCAGCAGUGGGGAAUAUUGGACAAUGGGGGAAACCCUGAUCCAGCGACGCCGCGUGUGUGAAGAAGGCCUGCGGGUUGUAAAGCACUUUUAGUGGGGACAAAAAGCUACGGACUCAUACUCUGUGGUCUUGAUUUCACCCAAAGAAAAAGCA
rnacentral:rRNA from 1 species